rnacentral:rRNA from 1 species
CCUACGGGAGGCAGCAGUGGGGAAUAUUGGGCAAUGGGCGAAAGCCUGACCCAGCAACGCCGCGUGAAGGAAGAAGGCUUUCGGGUUGUAAACUUCUUUUGACAGGGAAGAGCAGAAGACGGUACCUGUCGAAUAAGCCACGGCUAACUACGUGCCAGCAGCCGCGGUAAUACGUAGGUGGCAAGCGUUAUCCGGAUUUACUGGGUGUAAAGGGCGUGUAGGCGGGGACGCAAGUCAGAUGUGAAAACCACGGGCUCAACCUGUGGCCUGCAUUUGAAACUGUGUUUCUUGAGUACUGGAGAGGCAGACGGAAUUCCUAGUGUAGCGGUGAAAUGCGUAGAUAUUAGGAGGAACACCAGUGGCGAAGGCGGUCUGCUGGACAGCAACUGACGCUGAGGCGCGAAAGCGUGGGGAGCAAACAGGAUUAGAUACCCGGGUAGUC